rnacentral:tRNA from 1 species
GCCGAAGUAGCUCAGUUGGUAGAGUGUUAGAAUGAAGAUCUAAAGGUCCCUGGUUCAAUCCUGGGUUUCGGCA